rnacentral:rRNA from 1 species
GAUGAACGCUGGCGGCGUGCCUGAUACAUGCAAGUCGAGCGGACAGACGAGGCGCUUGCUCCUCGCACGUUAGCGGACGGGGGAGUAACCCGGGGAUAACCCAGCUCUAAGACUGGGAUAAAUUCGGGAAACCGGGGCUAAUACCCGGUAAUAUAUUGAACCUCCUGGUUCAGUAGUGAAAGACGGUUUUGCUGUCACUUAGAGAUGGGUCUGGGCCGCAUUAGCUUGUUGGUAAGGUAACGGCUUACCAAGGCAAGGAGGCGUAGACGAACGGAGAGGGGGAUCGGCGGCAUGGGAGCGGAAACAGGGACCAGGCGCCUACGGUAGGCAGCAGUAGGGAAUCUGACGCAGUGGGCGAAAGCCUGACGGAGCAACGCCGCGCGAGUGAUGACGGCCCUCGGAGCGUAAAGCUCUGUUAUGAGGGAAGAACAACUGUGGAAGUAACUAUGCAGGUCGUGACGGUACCUAAUCAGAAAGCCCCGGCUAACUACGUG